CGUAAUGUAAACACUUGCCUCGUUGAUUAGUAAAACUGAAUUGCCGUGUAACGCGCAUUGCACACGAUUAUACGUCUUAAUUAGUCAGUGGACGGGAAUUAAUUCCCUUUACAGCAUUUCCCGUGGGUCACAUUCUUGCGGCCGUGGUGUAAAACAUUUCUGCCUCUUGGAACACGAGCCACUCAUGGGGCACCUGUUUGUCCCGAGUUUCGAGGGAACACAGAUUGCAUUAAACAACGUAACGAGUUGACGUAUCUUCCUAAUUACCCGGCCCGGACACUUUGCUUUGGCCGAAGAAUUCCAUUUCUGCAUCUAAAAUAAUCACAGACAGACGGACAAAGAAAGAAAGUUUGGAGUUAAUUUUUAUUAGCCGACGAAAUGAAUAAUGAAACGAGUAAAAGAAAGAAGAAUUUAAAUCCAAAAUAAGAUCGGGGUUACGCAUAAUAAAUUCGAUCCUCCAAAAGUGUGAAUAUAUUAACGUCCUGAUAAAUUUGUUUAAAUUAAUUACAUAAUUUCAUAAAUAAUCUUCAUUUAAAAUACAAAUAUCUCUACAAAGAUAUUUUAAAUUACCCACGAUAUACGAAAGAAUUGUUCUUUGUUUCAAACAAUUCGUUCCAACGUACAACAAAGCUUUGAAUAUCCGAAAUUGCGGUUAGAAUAACCGCUAAAACUUUUCAAAAGCAAACGGAAUGAUCCAAGAUCCAACUAACGAUCGUUCUUUCGUUUGGCCUGCACUGACAGCAUAUUCCAUUCGGUUUUGCCGGUCUCUCCCCUCCGGAUGCCGCGAAGAGGAAUACGAAAUGUUGAAACCCGGGCGCCCUGGGCGCGGUUUGCGUUCACACUAAUCAUUAACCUUCGUACAUAGAUACAUUUGCAUCGUGGAACACCGAACAUCCUGUUUAUUUACAGGUAUUUGCGCGACUGUGUGUGCAUCACGUUAUCAAGCAUGGAAUUAUUUCUGGACCAAGGACUGGAAAGGAUGUGGGUGACGAAAGGAAGGAAAUACCCGGUUGUUGCGCUUUUGUGUCCCCCUCAAAGAAUUAGAAAUUUGACAGAUGGCUCUGAUUUUCGAGAAAAUUCGAGAAUCAGUUUUCGAAGGAGGGAAAAUUACGAAAAGAUGAAAAUUCCUAUUACUUUUUUACACUAAAUAAUGAACGUGGAAAUAAUGCAGUCAUUGAAGUAUAAGUAGAAUUUAAAUUUAAAAUUUUCCUUAACUUGCAAUUUCGUACGUUUUCAUCAAGUCUUAUAUCCGCAACUGUUUUAAAGAAAAUAUCUAUAGUAUAAGUACAAAGUAAAAUAUUAAAAAUAAAAGUAUCAAAGAUACCAAAGAUAUCGUAAUAUAUAAGAAACGAUACGAAGUUUAUGCUCGUAAAUAGUUAUGAAGAAAUGGCAAUUUUAUGACACUCGUCUCUGUUGUAGGCAAAGUAUAAGGGAAACGAAACUGUGCAUGGGUUUUGUUUUACGUCGCGUGUACCUUGGGGAAAUGUGCUCGGGUUAAUUUCACGGUUCAGCAUCGACGGAGGCCACUAUUGCCACCGCGGACCAUUACGAUCAUGACACGCCACGCCUAACACACUUUAUUCGAUUCCCGUGUUUCUAGAAUUUGGGUGAUUAAAUUUAACGAGGGGAUAAAGAUAUUAUCCCCUUUUAGAGGAUUACGCUUCCGCUGAUUUACAAGUUCGUUUAAAUGAAAAUAAAGACACGAUUACCAUUUCACGUUGAGAAUCAUGAAAGGGACAAAUGUUUGGUCGAAAAUGAGCAUAUAUUACAAUUGAAAUUUAAGAAAUGUAAUAUAUACGUUCCAAGAAAUUAUAGCAAUAGGCGUUGAGUUUAUAAGAAAUUAAAAUUAUCUUUCAAUUUCAA